rnacentral:misc_RNA from 1 species
UGAAGCAGGGUUUGAAACAGUGGUGGUAGAAGACACUGUAUUAUUGGCAUCCGCUGGCACAAAAGCCUCACUGGUUCCAUAUGUACUUUGAGAUGGACUUGACUGUGUUUUGGAAUGCCUCCGAGCUAGCUGUGCAAAUUCAUCCUCCUCUUCAUCUUCUUCAUCAAUAGGGCUCCUUGUUACAUUAGCAACUGACACGUUGGGAUUAGUGCUAGAACUUGGGCUGGCGUCCUUUACUUCAGUCGGCUUGAUAUUGGAGGAAUAUCCUUCACUUGACUUGGGGCCUAAAUUAUUAACUUGUGUUGGCAUAGGAGAACCAGAAGCUAUAGCAUCAUGUUUGGCAAGCAAGGUUUGUAGACUGUCAUUUAAUUCAAGACCCUGACCAAGAAGUUCCUCAUCCCCAGUUGUAGUUAGCAUCUGCAUCAACUUUUUUUGGUUGGACCGACACCGAUUGACAAGAUCAACUAUAAUUUCAUCUUUUAAAGCCUCACGAUCAUCAGGGUUCACUGCUUGCAGCAUGUCAUUCAAGAGCUCCAUAACAUUCCGCAUGGAAUCCAAACCUGACAAGCUUAAGCCUUCAAACUCUGUUGCCAUUGUUUCAUCAAGUCUUCUAGAGGAAUUACUAGGCAUCCCAUAUCCAGCUUGAGUAUGUCUCAACGUUGAAUGAGUGACGGGAGGUGUAAAUAUAGGAGAUGCAUUUGAGGAACGCUGAGGGAAUUCCACUCCAGCACGCCUUAGUUCUUCAUAUGCCCAAUAGUACUGAGGAUGUUUUCCUCCUGGCCCCCCAAAUGCCUCUUGCCAAGAGUCCAUCAAAACCAGAAUUUUAUCUCUUACAUGCAUAUCAGUCUUCUUUUUUACAAUUUUGACCAUCUCACCCAAGAUGUUCUUUUCAGCAAUUUGGAAAUGGAUGUAAUCACCACAGUUCUUCACAAUUGUUUCUAAAAGCGUUAAAGCCAGCAAUUGCACUUUAGGGUUC